rnacentral:rRNA from 1 species
GAAACCCACACUAAAAUCAUUCGCCAGAGUACUACAAGCGAAAGCUUAAAACCCAAAGGACUUGGCGGUGUUUCAGACCCACCUAGAGGAGCCUGUUCUAGAACCGACAAUACUCGUUAAACCUCACCACUUCUUGUUUCCCCCGCCUAUAUACCGCCGUCGUCAGCUUACCCUGUGAAGGACAAAAAGUAAGCAAAAUGAGCACAACCCAAAACGUCAGGCCGAGGUGUAGCGCACGAAGUGGGAAGAAAUGGGCUACAUUUUCUAAUUAUAGAACAAUUACGCACGACGCACUGAAACUUAUGCGUCUUUUUUAAAGGUGGAUUUAGAAGUAAAAAGCAAAUAGAG